GCCUAUUUAGGGUGCGGCGGCGGGCGGGAGCAGUGCGCCCAUGGCGGCCCUGGGGGACGAGGUGCUGGACGGUUACGUGUUCCCGGCGUGCCCCCCCUGCUCGUACCGGUACCCAUACCCCGCGGCCACCAAGGGCAAGGGCGCGGCGGGCGGCAGCUGGCAGCAGCGCGGCAGGGGCUGCCUUCCCGCCUCCUCCCCCUGCUCGGCGGGCGCGGCCUCGUUGUCCUUCCCGGGCUGCGGGCGGCUGACGGCCGCCGAGUACUUCGACAGCUACCAGCGGGAGCGGCUCAUGGCUCUCCUGGCGCAGGUGGGGCCGGGUCUCGGGCCGCGCGCCCGCAGGGCCGGCAGCUGCGACGUGGCGGUGCAGGUGAGCCCGCGCAUCGACGCCGCGGUACAGUGCUCGCUGGGGAGGCGCACGCUGCAGCGCCGGGCCCGCGACCCCGAGUCCCCGGCCGGCCCCGGGGCCGAGGGCACCACGGGUGGCGGCUCUUUCUCCCAGCAGCCAUCCCGUCGAGGCCUGGAGCAGGGCAGCCCCCAGAACGGCGCCCCGCGGCCCAUGCGCUUCCCGCGCACCGUCGCCGUGUACUCGCCCCUGGCCUUGCGCCGUCUCACCGCCUUCCUGGAGGGGCCCGGGCCCGCGGCGGGCGAGCAGAGGUCCGGGGCGUCGGACGGAGAGAGGGGGCCGCCGCCCGCGCGGCUUCAAGGCCCAGAGGAGGGGGAGGUGUGGACGAAGAAGGCGCCCCGGCGGCCGCAGUCCGACGACGACGGCGAGGCCCAGGCCGCAGUCCGAGCGAGCUGGGAGCAGCCGGCCGACGGUCCCGAGCUGCCGCCGCGAGAGGCCCAGGAGGGCGAGGCGGCUCCGCGGUCGGCGCUAAGGAGCCCGGGGCAACCUCCGUCGGCGGGGAGGGCCCGAGACGGCGGCGACGGACGGGAGGCGGCCGUCGCGGGAGAGGGGCCGUCGCCACGGAGCCCGGAGCUGGGCAAGGAGCGGCUGCGCUUCCAGUUCUUAGAGCAGAAAUAUGGCUAUUACCACUGCAAGGACUGCAACAUCCGCUGGGAGAGUGCUUAUGUGUGGUGUGUACAGGGAACUAACAAGGUUUACUUCAAACAGUUUUGCAGAACUUGUCAGAAGUCUUAUAACCCUUACCGAGUGGAGGAUAUCACCUGUCAAAGUUGUAAACAAACGAGAUGUUCCUGCCCAGUAAAACUUCGCCACGUGGACCCUAAACGGCCCCACCGUCAAGAUUUGUGCGGUAGAUGCAAAGGCAAACGCCUGUCCUGUGACAGCACUUUCAGCUUCAAAUACAUCAUUUAGGUGAAAGUCAGUGUUGCUGUGCAUGCGCUGAUGGAGUAGACGAGUGAGCUUUUCCGUGCCUCUCCUCCACCUCUCCCUUCUCAAAAUACUUCAUGAAAGGCAGUGUAUUCUGAAAAAGCCUUCAAAUAAAGGUUAUCCUGGUGUUUUAUGUGAGCAGUAUUCACUCACAGGCCUGGAUGAGGAACCUUACUCUGCCCUUGAGUCUUUUCCAAGAAAGCAUGUAAUGAUUUCCUAAAUUUAAGGGAGGUUAUGUGUUUUGCCACACCCUCUAUUUUACAUCACUAAAAGUAGAAAAUAUAUUUUAAAAUAAGAAAUCCUGUGGUUUUGUUUUAGAAGCAGCAUGAAGAAACUGCCGGAUUGCUGCUUUUGCUGUUGUCUUAUAAGCGUACUAUUUAAAAAUGAUAAAUUUAGUGGGCAAAAGAAAAAGGCUGUAUGUAGCAAAAACUGGGCUCCAAAUGGAACUAAAUCAGGUAAUAAAUUAAGCAUUGGUAUAUAUUUGUUAAUAAAUGCUAACUUGGGAUUCAGAGGCUGAGGAGCAGAGAAGUGUAGGUUGGAGGAAAAUGCUGUUGCAGAAGGCCAUCCUAAUGAAUUUGUUUGCAUCUUGCUUGCUGCAGGUAUAUUCAUUUUUAUUAUAUUAAUAGACUUAGUUACAUAUAAAUAAACACAAAAAGCAAAUAUCAACUGAAAGGUUUGGUUGGGUAGUCAACUAAUUUUGUUCUUUUCUAGGGCAAUUCAAGAAGGUAACAUUUGAAAGGUUUCUAAAUGAUGCACACUGUAAUCAUUCAUUCUUUGUUAAAAUACAACACAAACCAACAGCUACAAUGCUUUUUAUUUUUAACAAAAAGGAUGUAAGGAGGGUAAGAAAAACAGAGGACAGUAA